rnacentral:rRNA from 1 species
AGAGUUUGAUCAUGGCUCAGGAUGAACGCUGGCGGCGUGCCUAAUACAUGCAAGUCGAACGAGGUGCUUUUGUAGCAAUACGAGAGUAUCCUAGUGGCGAACGGGUGAGUAACGCGUUGGUGACCUACCCCAAAGUGUGGGAUAACAGUCCGAAAGGAUUGCUAAUACCGCAUGUGGUCAUUGGAUUUAGAAACUGAUGACUAAAGGAGCAAUUCGCUUUGGGAGGGACCUGCGUCCCAUCAGCUAGUUGGUGAGGUAAUGGCUCACCAAGGCGACGACGGGUAGGGGACCUGAGAGGGUGGCCCCCCACAAUGGAACUGAAACACGGUCCAUACACCUACGGGUGGCAGCAGUAGGGAAUAUUGCACAAUGGGCGAAAGCCUGAUGCAGCAACGCCGCGUGUGUGAUGAAGGCCUUCGGGUCGUAAAGCACUUUUCUGGGAGAUGAGAAAGGACAGUAUCCCAGGAAUAAGUCUCGGCUAACUACGUGCCAGCCGCCGCGGUAAUAC